UACGUAGGGACCGAGCGUUGUCCGGAUUCAUUGGACGUAAAGAGCUCGUAGGCGGCCACUCAAGUCGAAUGUGAAACCUCGAGGCUUAACCUCGAGCCUGCAUUCGAUACUGGGCGGCUAGAGUCUGGUAGGGGGAUCUGGAAUUCCUGGUGUAGCGGUGGAAUGCGCAGAUAUCAGGAGGAACACCGGUGGCGAAGGCGGGAUCCUGGGCCAGUACUGACGCUGAGUCACGAAAGCGUGGGGAGCGAACAGG
rnacentral:rRNA from 1 species